CGCGUUUUUUGCGCAGGCGGAGCUCGACCGCCGACUCAAGUCGUGAAGGCGUACAUCGACCGCUACCGCGAUGCGUACGGGGUCGAGCCCAUCUGCAAGGUCUUGCAGAUUGCCCCG
rfam:Ralstonia pickettii 12J chromosome 1, complete sequence.